rnacentral:siRNA from 1 species
AGGUGGUCAUGGCUAAUGGUCUC